UAAUACAUGGAUCUCAUACCUAGUUACUAUCAAUAUAUAUCUGUGUAUUUAUCUGUAUAUAUUUAUGUAUAUUACAUCAUAUUUUUAUGUAUAAUUCUUUCUUCGGUUAAAUUAAUGCAAAAGAUACUCAUUACAUUUGAUUUCUUGAAGUAUGUUUGUUUUUUUGUCACAGUUUCCAAUCACGGCAAACCACCGACAGCCAAAUAGUUAAUUACUUAUCUUUUCCCUUUUCCAUAACCAUAUUACUUUAAUCAAACUCGCUAACAUACGCCGCCCAUCGAUUAUCCACCCCCGUGAACAGCGCGUACGUUAGUCAGGCGGUCACUCGAUUCCAAACGCACGGAAAUAGCAGCAGCGGUGGAUUCCGGUGACCACAAUAUGAUGGCGACUUAACAAACCACCCAAACAUCCACAGUUUUUGGCGUUUGUUGUCUGCAAUUUUUCUCACAUCCCUGUUUACCCUUCCUUCCAAAAUCAGAUUCGAAUCAAACCAAAGAUUAAUUAACCAUGAAAAUCGAGAAAACCAAAACCCUAGAUCUCGACUAAAUAGUCUAAUUUUCUGGAAAGCUGACACAAAAACUUUGAAUUGAAAAAAAAAAAUUAGCAGAAGAAGAAAGAAAACGGCAGUUGAAUCAGAAUAUUGUCGCCGUGGGUCACGUGGAUUCUAUCGUCCUUUUCGGGUUUUGAAUUGUGGGCAAUGAUGAUGAAUUGACCGAUGCUUAUAGCGCACUAUCUGGAAAAAGAAGACACCAAAGUGUGCAGGCAAAAUCGACACUUCACCUACUAUGACCCUCAAACGUCCCCAUCUCUGCCUUUUGUUUCUUGUUCUUAUGCGUAAUUAUAACAUCUGAACCUUGGAUUUAUUAACACUGUGUUUGAUAUCAAGAGACUCUGGCUAAUAAACUAAUUAAUUAGUCGAAAAA